AUCUGGAUCGCCAUUUUUCAAUCAAGGACAGUCCUCCACCCCUGUGAUCCUCUUCAACAAUGCAAACCCCCAAAGACCCCCACGGAAACUGGACAAACAAAAGAAGCUAGCCGCAAUAACACAAAAUGAGACCCCCGGCUGAUCUUCUUUUGCUCGAUCAAAAAUAGCCAUUUCAUCUUCUUCUACAAAGAAGGAAGCAUCCAUGGAGAACAAACAUAACACUGAAGGACAAGCAGCCAUAGUCACAGGCCUUCAAGACCCUUAGCUUUUUCAUCUUCGUCACAAGAAAAAGCUAGAGAAACCUAAGACCUAGGCAGAACCCUAUCUCCCACGUUCCCGCUACUUCAUCUUAAAUCAACAACACCGCUGGACCUUCCUCUUCUUUAUAUUUUUCAGCCGAAAAACAUAAUUUAAGAACUCCGAGCACAUCCAUUCGAGUU
rnacentral:lncRNA from 1 species